rnacentral:rRNA from 1 species
AGUGAACGCUGGCGGUAGGCCUAACACAUGCAAGUCGAACGGCAGCACAGUAAGAGCUUGCUCUUACGGGUGGCGAGUGGCGGACGGGUGAGGAAUACAUCGGAAUCUACUUUUUCGUGGGGGAUAACGUAGGGAAACUUACGCUAAUACCGCAUACGACCUACGGGUGAAAGCAGGGGAUCUUCGGACCUUGCGCGAUUGAAUGAGCCGAUGUCGGAUUAGCUAGUUGGCGGGGUAAAGGCCCACCAAGGCGACGAUCCGUAGCUGGUCUGAGAGGAUGAUCAGCCACACUGGAACUGAGACACGGUCCAGACGCCUACGGGAGGGAGCAGUGGGGAAUAUUGGACAAUGGGCGCAAGCCUGAUCCAGCCAUACCGCGUGGGUGAAGAAGGCCUUCGGGUUGUAAAGCCCUUUUGUUGGGAAAGAAAGGCAGCAGGUUAAUACCCCGCUGUUCUGACGGUACCCAAAGAAUAAGCACCGGCUAACUUCGUG